rnacentral:rRNA from 1 species
AUGAACGCUGGCGGCGUGCCUAAUACAUGCAAGUCGAGCGAACAGAUGAGGAGCUUGCUCCUCUGACGUUAGCGGCGGACGGGUGAGUAACACGUGGAUAACCUACCUAUAAGACUGGGAUAACUUCGGGAAACCGGAGCUAAUACCGGAUAAUAUAUUGAACCGCAUGGUUCAAUAGUGAAAGACGGUUUUGCUGUCACUUAUAGAUGGAUCCGCGCCGCAUUAGCUAGUUGGUAAGGUAACGGCUUACCAAGGCAACGAUGCGUAGCCGACCUGAGAGGGUGAGCGGCCACACUGGAACUGAGACACGGUCCAGACUCCUACGGGAGGCAGCAGUAGGGAAUCUUCCGCAAUGGGCGAAAGCCUGACGGAGCAACGCCGCGUGAGUGAUGAAGGUCUUCGGAUCGUAAAACUCUGUUAUUAGGGAAGAACAAAUGUGUAAGUAACUAUGCACGUCUUGACGGUACCUAAUCAGAAAGCCACGGCUAACUACGUG